GAUGAACGCUGGCGGCGUGCUUAACACAUGCAAGUCGAACGGGAUCCCAGGAGCGUUUUUCGGUUUUUGGUGGGCGUGGCGAACGGGUGCGUAACACGUGAGUAACCUGUCCUUUUCUUUGGGAUAAGCUCCUGAAAGGGAGUUUAAUACCUUAUGUCCUGUCUGCCUCGCGUGGGGGGGGUGGGUAAGCUUUUGUCGGUGAAGGGUGGGCUCGCGGGCUAUCGGGUUGGUGGUGGGGUAAUGGCUUACCAAGGCUUUGGCCGGUCGCCGGGCUGGGAGGGUGAGCGGCCACGUUGCGACGCAGAUACGUGCCAGACGCCUACGGGAGGCAUCAGGGGCGAAGAUCGCACGACGGACGGAGGCCUGCUGCGUCGGCGCCGAGGGCGGUAGGACUGCCUACGGGUUGUAAACCGCUUUAGGCGGUGACUUGGGGUGUGUGACGGGUAUGGGUUAAUAAGCACCGGCUAACUACGUG
rnacentral:rRNA from 1 species